rnacentral:tRNA from 1 species
AUUCUCAGUUGGCUAGAGCACCUGACUUUUAAUCAGGGAGUCGCAGGUUCGAGUCCUGCUGGGG